rnacentral:rRNA from 1 species
GUUAUAUGGUCAAGCGAAUAAGCGCACACGGUGGAUGCCUUGGCGGUCAGAGGCGAUGAAGGACGUGGCAGCCUGCGAAAAGUGCGGGGGAGCUGGCAACAAGCAUUGAUCCCGUAAUGUCCGAAUGGGGAAACCCACCGCUUUGAGCGGUAUCCUGCAGUGAAUACAUAGCUGCUGGAAGCGAACCCGGUGAACUGAAAUAUCUAAGUAACCGGAGGAAAAGAAAUCAACCGAGAUUCCCUGAGUAGCGACGAGCGAACGGGGAACAGCCCUUAAGCUGGUUUGGUUUUAGAAGAACAACCUGGAAAGGUUGGCCAUAGACGGUGAUAGCCCGGUAUUCGAAAAGGCCUUAUCAGUGAAAUCGAGUAGGGCGGGGCACGUGAAACCCUGUCUGAAUAUGGGGGGACCAUCCUCCAAGGCUAAAUACUACUGACCGACCGAUAGUGAACCAGUACCGUGAGGGAAAGGCGAAAAGAACCCCGGAGAGGGGAGUGAAAUAGAUCCUGAAACCGUGUGCGUACAAGCAGUAGGAGCUCGAAAGAGUGACUGCGUACCUUUUGUAUAAUGGGUCAGCGACUUACUGUUCGUGGCAAGCUUAACCGUAUAGGGGAGGCGAAGGGAAACCGAGUCUGAUAAGGGCGCAUAGUCGCGGGCAGUAGACCCGAAACCGGGUGAUCUAGUCAUGCCCAGGGUGAAGGUGCGGUAACACGCACUGGAGGCCCGAACCCACUCCCGUUGCAAAGGUAGGGGAUGAGGUGUGAUUAGGAGUGAAAAGCUAAUCGAACCCGGAGAUAGCUGGUUCUCCUCGAAAGCUAUUUAGGUAGCGCCUCAUAUGUAUCCUCUCGGGGGUAGAGCACUGUUAUGGCUAGGGGGUCAUCGCGACUUACCAAACCAUUGCAAACUCCGAAUACCGAGACGGACUGUAUGGGAGACACACGGCGGGUGCUAACGUCCGUCGUGAAAAGGGAAACAACCCAGACCCACAGCUAAGGUCCCAAAUUCAGUGCUAAGUGGAAAACCAUGUGGAAAGGCACAGACAGCCAGGAGGUUGGCUUAGAAGCAGCCACCCUUUAAAGAAAGCGUAAUAGCUCACUGGUCGAGUCGGUCUGCGGGGAAGAUUUAACGGGGCUAAAGCACUGAACCGAAGCUUGGGGUGCAUAACUUUGUUAUGCGCGGUAGAGGAGCGUUCCGUAAGCCGUUGAAGGUGGAUUGAGAAGUCUGCUGGAGGUAUCGGAAGUGCGAAUGCUGACAUGAGUAACGAUAAUGCGGGUGAAAAACCCGCACGCCGAAAGCCCAAGGUUUCCUUGCGCAACGUUAAUCGGCGCAGGGUGAGUCGGCCCCUAAGGCGAGGCAGAAAUGCGUAGUCGAUGGGAAGCAGGUUAAUAUUCCUGCACCUCGCGUAAGUGCGAUGGAGGGACGGAGAAGGUUAGGUGUACCAGGCGUUGGUUGUCCUGGGGAAAGGCGGUAGGUUUGGAUCUUUGGCAAAUCCGGGAUCCUUCAAGACCGAGCACCGAGACGAGUCUUUAGACGNNNNNNNNNNNNNNNNNNNNNNNNNNNNNNNNNNNNNNNNNNNNNNNNNNNNNNNNNNNNNNNNNNNNNNNNNNNNNNNNNNNNACGAGUCAUUAGACGAAGUCACUGAUACCACGCUUCCAGGAAAAGCUCCUAAGCUUCAGCUUACGCAGACCGUACCGUAAACCGACACAGGUGGGUAGGAUGAGAAUUCUCAGGCGCUUGAGAGAACUCGGGUGAAGGAACUAGGCAACAUGGCACCGUAACUUCGGGAGAAGGUGCACCACGACCGGUGGCCCAUGCGGGUAUAAGCUGGUGGUGGUCGAAGUGACCAGGCCGCUGCGACUGUUUAUCAAAAACACAGCACUCUGCAAACACGAAAGUGGACGUAUAGGGUGUGACGCCUGCCCGGUGCUGGAAGGUUAAUUGAUGGGGUCAGCCGAAAGGCGAAGCUCUUGAUCGAAGCCCCAGUAAACGGCGGCCGUAACUAUAACGGUCCUAAGGUAGCGAAAUUCCUUGUCGGGUAAGUUCCGACCUGCACGAAUGGCGUAACGACAGCGGCGCUGUCUCCACCCGAGACUCAGUGAAAUUGAAAUCGCUGUGAAGAUGCAGCGUUCCCGUGGCAAGACGGAAAGACCCCGUGAACCUUUACUAUAGCUUUACACUGAACGUUGAGUUCGUCUGUGUAGGAUAGGUGGGAGGCUAUGAAACUGUGGCGCCAGCUGCAGUGGAGCCAUCCUUGAAAUACCACCCUGUCGUGCUUGACGUUCUAACUGAGGUCCGUUAUCCGGAUCCAGGACCGUGUAUGGUGGGUAGUUUGACUGGGGCGGUCUCCUCCUAAAGAGUAACGGAGGAGCUCGAAGGUACGCUCAGCGCGGUCGGACAUCGCGCACUGUGUGCAAAGGCAUAAGCGUGCUUGACUGCAAGAUCGACGGAUCAAGCAGGUAGGAAACUAGGACUUAGUGAUCCGGUGGUUCUGUAUGGAAGGGCCAUCGCUCAACGGAUAAAAGGUACUCCGGGGAUAACAGGCUGAUACCGCCCAAGAGUUCAUAUCGACGGCGGUGUUUGGCACCUCGAUGUCGGCUCAUCACAUCCUGGGGCUGUAGUCGGUCCCAAGGGUAUGGCUGUUCGCCAUUUAAAGUGGUACGCGAGCUGGGUUCAGAACGUCGUGAGACAGUUCGGUCCCUAUCUGCCAUGGGCGUUGGAGAUUUGAGAGGGGCUGCUCCUAGUACGAGAGGACCGGAGUGGACGAACCUCUGGUGUUCCGGUUGUCACGCCAGUGGCAUUGCCGGGUAGCUAUGUUCGGAAGCGAUAACCGCUGAAAGCAUCUAAGCGGGAAGCGCGCCUCAAGAUGAGAUCUCCCGGGGCACAAGCCCCCUGAAGGAACCAUAUAGACUAUGUGGUUGAUAGGUCAGGUGUGUAAGUGCAGCAAUGCAUUGAGCUAACUGAUACUAAUGAUCCGUGUGGCUUGACCAUAUAACCUCA